rnacentral:rRNA from 1 species
UCGAGGAUCAUUCGCAAUGGGCGAAAGCCUGACGAUGCGACGCUGUGUGAACGAUGAAGGCCUUCGGGUUGUAAAGUUCUUUCGCCUGGGAACAAGAGAGAGCAGUGAACAACUGUUCAAUUUGAGGGUACUAGGUAAAGAAGCACCGGCUAACUCCGUGCCAGCAGCUGCGGUAAUACGGAGGGUGCAAGCAUUAAUCGGAAUUAUUGGGCGUAAAGGGCGCGUAGGCGGAUUUGUAAGUCAGAUGUGAAAUUCCGAGGCUCAACUUCGGAGCUGCAUCUGAAACUACAAACCUGGAGGGAUGGCGGAGAAAAUGGAAUUCCACGUGUAGCGGUGAAAUGCGUAGAUAUGUGGAGGAACACCUGUGGCGAAAGCGGUUUUCUAGCUAUUUCCUGACGCUGAGGCGCGAGAGCAAGGGGAGCAAACAGGAUUAGAUACCCCCGUAGUCC